UAUGAUCAGUAAUAGGUUUAGAUGCUCAUGUUACCAUUAUCGGCUUGCGUUUAGCCAUAUUAGCCAGUUGGUAAGGGGGGGGUAAAUGCUUUAUUACGCUAGGAGGAUCGGACCUUGCGCUUGAACAUAUUUUAGCUAGUUAGUUGGUAGAUCGGUUGGUAAUGGCCUCUUGAAACCAAAUCGUGACGAUGACAAAAAAUGGUGUAGCUGGAUCUUGACUGAGAGAUCCCUGGGGUUGAACAUUUACUGUUACAUUGGGACUGAGACACGGCCAAGAUGGUCCAAGAUCCCUGGAAUUCUACGGACUGUAUCGGGUGAAUGACAAACCUGAGUCGAUGCAGUACUUCGGAUCGUUGCGGGUUCCAAUAUGUAAAGAACUUUUAUCAAGGAAGAAAAGCAAAUUUCUAAAUAUUAAAGAAAAAGGUGCCGUGGAAAAAAUGAUCGUGGAAAAAUCAUUCUGACGGUAUUUAAUGUUUAAGCCGGCCACUGUAGGCUAACUAUGCAUUACUGUGUGCCAGCAGCUGCGGUAAUACAUGGGUUUGGCCCAAGCGUUAUCCGGAUUAAAUUGGGCGUGGGGGGUGUGUAGAGCGGUUUAAUAAGUCUAUCCGUAUAAGUUCACACGCU
rnacentral:rRNA from 1 species